ensembl:lncRNA
CCUAAAAAGCAUUAAAAUGUGCCUUUAUUGCAUUUUCACAAAUAGGGUAAAGGUUUCACAAAUCUGAAACUAUGUUUUACAUAAUGUAUAGCCUCACUGUGAUCAUUUAGUCCAGAUUUGAAGAGUCUAGGUGUAGUGGUUUUCAAUCAGGACCCGUUCUAAUGCAGUCUGGACCCCUAAAAAGCAUUAAAAUGAGCCUGUAUUGCAUUUUCACAAAUAGAAAAAAGGUUUCACAAAUCUGUAACUAUGUUUUAUAUAAUGUAGAGCCUCACUGUGAUAAUGUAGUCCA